ACCUGGCUGGCCCAGUCGUAAGAGCAUGUGACUCUUAAUCUCGGGGUCGUGAGUUCAAGUGCCACGCUGGGUG
rnacentral:tRNA from 1 species